UACAGAGGGUGCGAGCGUUAAUCGGAAUUACUGGGCGUAAAGCGUGCGUAGACGGUAGCGUAAGUCAGAUGUGAAAGCCCCGGGCUCAACCUGGGAAUUGCAUUUGAGACUGCUCUGCUCGGGUGCGGAAGAGGGAAGCGGAAUUUCCGGUGUAGCGGUGAAAUGCGUGGAUAUCGGAAGGAACACCAGUGGCGAAAGCGGCUUCCUGGUCCGACACCGACGUUCAGGCACGAAAGCCAGGGGAGCAAACGGG
rnacentral:rRNA from 1 species